rnacentral:rRNA from 1 species
GAUGAACGCUGGCGGCGUGCCUAAUACAUGCAAGUCGAGCGAACGGACGAGAAGCUUGCUUCUUUGAUGUUAGCGGCGGACGGGUGAGUAACACGUGGAUAACCUACCUAUAAGACUGGGAUAACUUCGGGAAACCGGAGCUAAUACCGGAGAAUAUUUUGAACCGCAUGGUUCAAAAGUGAAAGACGGUCUUUCUGUAACUUCUAGAUGGAUCCGCGCUGCAUUAGCUAGUUGGUAAGGUAACGGGUUACCAAGGCAACGAUGCAUAGCCGACCUGAGAGAGUGAUCGGCGACCCUGGAGCUGAGCCACGGACCAGACUCCUACGGGAGGCAGCAGUAGGGAAUCUUCCGCAAUGGGCGAGAGCCUGACGGAGCAACGCCGCGUGAGUGAUGAAAGUCUUCGGAUCGGAAAACUCUGUUAUUAGGGAAGAACAUAUGUGUAAGUAACUGUGCACAGCUUGACGGUACCUAAUCAGAAAGCCACGGCUAACUACGUG